UUGGCGGACGGGUGGAGUAACGACGUGGGUAACCGUAGCCUUGCACUGGGGGAUAACACUUAGAAAUAGGUGCUAAUACCGCAUAAGCGCACGGUCCUGCAUGGGACAGUGUGAAAAACUCCGGUGGUGCAAGAUGGACCCGCGUCUGAUUAGCUGGUUGGCGGGGUAAAGGCCCACCAAGGCGACGAUCAGUAGCCGGCCUGAGAGGGUGGACGGCCACAUUGGGACUGAGACACGGCCCAAACUCCUACGGAAGGCAGCAG
rnacentral:rRNA from 1 species